CAGCCGCCACGGUAAAACGUAGGUGGCAAGCGUUGUCCGGAAUUAUUGGGCGUAAAGGGCUCGCAGGCGGUUUCUUAAGUCUGAUGUGAAAGCCCCCGGCUCAACCGGGGAGGGUCAUUGGAAACUGGGAAACUUGAGUGCAGAAGAGGAGAGUGGAAUUCCACGUGUAGCGGUGAAAUGCGUAGAGAUGUGGAGGAACACCAGUGGCGAAGGCGACUCUCUGGUCUGUAACUGACGCUGAGGAGCGAAAGCGUGGGGAGCGAACAGGAUUAGAUACCCCUGUAGUCCCUGUCUCUUAUAC
rnacentral:rRNA from 1 species